UAGGGAAUCUUCCACAAUGGACGCAAGUCUGAUGGAGCAACGCCGCGUGAGUGAAGAAGGUUUUCGGAUCGUAAAGCUCUGUUGUUGGUGAAGAAGGAUAGAGGUAGUAACUGGCCUUUAUUUGACGGUAAUCAACCAGAAAGUCACGGCUAACUACGUGCCAGCAGCCGCGGUAAUACGUAGGUGGCAAGCGUUGUCCGGAUUUAUUGGGCGUAAAGCGAGCGCAGGCGGAAGAAUAAGUCUGAUGUGAAAGCCCUCGGCUUAACCGAGGAACUGCAUCGGAAACUGUUUUUCUUGAGUGCAGAAGAGGAGGGUGGAAUUCCAUGUGUAGCGGUGGACUGCGUAGAUAUAUGGAAGAACACCAGUGGCGAAGGCGACUCUCUGGUCUGCAACUGACGCUGAGGCUCGAAAGCAUGGGUAGCGGACAGG
rnacentral:rRNA from 1 species